UCCGGUUGAUCCUGCCGGACCUGACUGCUAUCGGAUUGAUACUAAGCCAUGCUAGUCUUUGUAGUAAUACAAGGCAUACGGCUCAGUAACGCGUAGUCAACCUACCCUAUGGACGGGGAUAAUCUCGGGAAACUGAGCAUAAUACCCGGCAGACCACUUAUCCUGGAAUGGUUAGUGGUUAAAAUGAUUCGUCGCCAUAGGAUGGGACUGCGGCCUAUCAGCUUGUUGGUGAGGUAAUGGCCCACCAAGGCGAUUACAGGUACGGGCUCUGAGAGGAGAGGCCCGGAGAUGGGUACUGAGACAAGGACCCAGGCCCUAUGGGGCGCAGCAGGCGAGAAAACUUUGCAAUGUGCGAAAGCACGACAAGGUUAAUCCGAGUGAUUUCUGCUAAAGGAAUCUUUUGUUAGUUCUAAAAAUACUAGUGAAUAAGGGGUGGGCAAGUUCUGGUGUCAGCCGCCGCGGUAAAACCAGCACCUCAAGUGGUCAGGAGGAUUAUUGGGCCUAAAGCAUCCGUAGCCUGUUCUAUAAGUUUGCGGUUAAAUCUAUACGCUCAACGUAUAGGCUGCCGUAAAUACUGUAGAACUAGGGAGUGGGAGAGGUAGACGGUACUCGAUAGGAAGGGGUAAAAUCCUUUGAUCUAUUGAUGACCACCUGUGGCGAAGGCGGUCUACCAGAACACGUUCGACGGUGAGGGAUGAAAGCUGGGGGAGCAAACCGGAUUAGAUACCCGGGUAGUCCCAGCUGUAAACGAUGCAGACUCGAUGAUGCAAUGGCAUAGAGCUAUUGCAGUAUCGCAGGGAAGCCGUUAAGUCUGCCGCCUGGGAAGUACGUACGCAAGUAUGAAACUUAAAGGAAUUGGCGGGGGAGCACCACAAGGGGUGAAGCCUGCGGUUCAAUUGGAUUCAACGCCGGG
rnacentral:rRNA from 1 species